rnacentral:rRNA from 1 species
GACGAACGCUGGCGGCGUGCUUAACACAUGCAAGUCGAACGGAAAGGCCCUGCUUUUGUGGGGUGCUCGAGUGGCGAACGGGUGAGUAACACGUGAGUAACCUGCCCUUGACUUUGGGAUAACUUCAGGAAACUGGGGCUAAUACCGGAUAGGAGCUCCUGCUGCAUGGUGGGGGUUGGAAAGUUUCGGCGGUUGGGGAUGGACUCGCGGCUUAUCAGCUUGUUGGUGGGGUAGUGGCUUACCAAGGCUUUGACGGGUAGCCGGCCUGAGAGGGUGACCGGCCACAUUGGGACUGAGAUACGGACCAGAAUCCUACGGGAGGCAGCAGUGGGGAAUAUUGCAGAAUGGGGGGAAGCCUGAUGCAGAAACGCCGCGUGCGGGAUGACGGCCUUCGGGUGGUAAACCGCUUUCGAAUGUGACGAAGAGUGAGUGACGGUAAUGGGUAAAAAAGCACCGGCUAACUACGUG